UACGAAGGGGGCUAGCGUUGCUCGGAAUCACUGGGCGUAAAGGGUGCGUAGGCGGGUCUUUAAGUCAGGGGUGAAAUCCUGGAGCUCAACUCCAGAACUGCCUUUGAUACUGAGGAUCUCGAGUUCGGGAGAGGUGAGUGGAACUGCGAGUGUAGAGGUGAAAUUCGUAGAUAUUCGCAAGAACACCAGUGGCGAAGGCGGCUCACUGGCCCGAUACUGACGCUGAGGCACGAAAGCGUGGGGAGCAAACAGG
rnacentral:rRNA from 1 species